rnacentral:tRNA from 1 species
CAAUGGGUAGUUUAAAUGUAAAAUAGGAAUUUUGGGGGUUUCAGAACUUUCUGUUGA